GUUUCUCGACCGAGGUUCGUUAAAUGCAAUCGUGUUAAAAUGAUGGUUUCGAUUGCUCAGGUACAGUUCCUGUAUAAAGAACAAACUAACUAAUACAGUAUUCGUCAUUCAGUAAGUACAUCUGAGAUUCCCCACUGACAUCCGCUUAGUAAUGUUUAACACUGUUCAAAAGACGAAAAGAACCAGCCAGCGUGCAUGAGGGUUUUUUUUUCCUGCUGCUUUUGUG